GUCCAGACUCCUACGGGAGGCAGCAGUGGGGAAUAUUGCACAAUGGGGGAAACCCUGAUGCAGCAACGCCGCGUGAGUGAAGAAGUAUUUCGGUAUGUAAAGCUCUAUCAGCAGGGAAGAAGAUGACGGUACCUGAGUAAGAAGCCCCGGCUAACUACGUGCCAGCAGCCGCGGUAAUACGUAGGGGGCAAGCGUUAUCCGGAUUUACUGGGUGUAAAGGGAGCGUAGACGGUGAGACAAGUCUGAAGUGAAAGCCCGGGGCUCAACCCCGGGACUGCUUUGGAAACUGCCUGACUGGAGUGCUGGAGAGGCAAGCGGAAUUCCUAGUGUAGCGGUGAAAUGCGUAGAUAUUAGGAAGAACACCAGUGGCGAAGGCGGCUUGCUGGACAGUAACUGACGUUGAGGCUCGAAAGCGUGGGGAGCAAACAGGAUUAGAUACCCCCGUAAG
rnacentral:rRNA from 1 species